rnacentral:rRNA from 1 species
AACGUAGGUGGCAAGCGUUAUCCGGAAUUACUGGGCGUAAAGGGUGUGCAGGCGGGGGAACAAGUGGGGUAUGAAAUCUCCCAGCUUAACUGGGAUAGGUUAUGCCAGACUGUUUUUCUAGAGGACGAGAGAGGGGGGUGGAAUUCCGGGUGUAGUGGUGAAAUGCGUAGAGAUCCGGAGGAACCCCAGAGGCGAAGGCGGCCCCCUGGCUCGUACCUGACGCUCAGCCACGAAAGCAUGGGGAGCGAACGGG